CUAGAGUCCAAGGAGAACUACAUUUCCCAGGAGGCUACGGGAGCCUGCCAUGUUUCUCCCGUGCUCCUCUCGGCCAGCCGCCCGCCACGCUGUCGGCGCUAUAGCAACGGUAGCUAGCUGCAGGGCCAGUGGCACGCUAGGCCAUGUCUGGUCCAACUGAUGAGACUGCAGGAGACUUGCCUGUGAAAGAUACAGGUCUAAACCUCUUUGGAAUGGGAGGGUUACAAGAAACUUCAACAACACGGACAAUGAAGUCUCGCCAGGCAGUGUCACGUGUCAGUCGUGAGGAACUGGAAGACAGAUUUUUGCGUUUGCAUGAUGAGAACAUUUUACUUAAACAGCAUGCCCGCAAGCAGGAGGAUAAAAUUAAAAGGUUAUGAUAAAAAGCUUUUAGCUUUUUUUCUUGACUCAGUAAAAUUUGGAGGGUAUGGUAUUUUAUAAACUUAAUUGAAUACCCCACCUUGAAUCUUGUUUGGAACAAGGCAGGAUGUAAAUAAGUACAAUUUUUAAAAAUGGAAAAUCUUGCAAACUAGAAUAAUAAACCAAAAAGAUUAUGAGUGUUUAUUAUGUCUGAAUUUGCUAUUUAAAUGAAAAAAGCUAAUAGAGUGCCGUUAGUAUAUCAUACCUAUAAAUAACUUUUGGUUUAAUAUUUAUAGUUUAAUAAGCAAAUGGCCAAAGCAUCUGUUUUUUAAAUGUCUUGAUUUUAAAAUGAAAGUUUUAAAAAGUAACUAACUAUUCUAACUUGUUAGAAUGCACAUUCCCUUAAGAUUUGGGGUUUACUAAUGAAAACAUCACUUCAGUCUCUGGAACAUAUUUAACUUUGCUUGGGUUAUACUAGAUUCUAUAUUGAUUUCAAAGAGUCUCUACUGUUUCUGAAGAAACAGUAUUGUCAC
rnacentral:lncRNA from 10 species